GGUGGCCCUGUCGGUCCCCCCGCAACGAUUACCCGUCAACCUGGUCAGGUCCGGAAGGAAGCAGCCACAGCGGGAACAUCGUGUGCCGGGGUGUGGCUGGCGGGGCCGCCUCCA
rnacentral:SRP_RNA from 1 species